rnacentral:lncRNA from 1 species
GCGCCUUCUCUGCUAUUGCCACCUACGUGAUUAUCGCCACUCUUCAAAAAGUCAACAUGUGCUUCUUUGUGAUGAAGCAGCUCCACAUCAUAGUUGGCUGAUGUGUUAGCAUGUUGUUCUUCCUUCAUAGGAAUGUUGGUUAUUGUGGUUGAAGCCAGAUCAAAAUGUUGCUGUACUAAAACAUUCAGUUUUGUAGCUAAAUGCCGUCCUGCACGGACACUGUGCACCUCGCUGGUUAAAACAGGUGAAAGCUCUUUUUUAGGACGAUCUGAAACAAGGCUGUCUUCACCAACUGGGUACGUGUGGAUUAAGACCAAUUCACAUUUCUGGAUCUGCAUUAGGUGAUCUGAAUUAGCUGCAAGCUUGUUAUGCUCAUGAAUGGUUUCCUGAACAUAAUCCUCAAGCAUCCGAACGUGACUGUCACUUUUUGCAUUAGUAAUACAGAUUAUUCUUCCUCUAUUUCCAACACGUUCUGCAUUCUCCAUGAGCAUGGUUCGAGCCUCAUGUUGGUAUUCUGUUAUUUUGCAAAGUGCUUCAACUGCAGCAACCAGCCCAUGAAGUAUGCUACAGCAUUCUGGAUCUGCCCGAGGAUUAGGUGGCCCCACAGCUGCUAAGGCUGCCAUUAACUCUUGCAAGUUCUGGUCUUCUUGGGUCCAAGAAUUCAAGACACGAGCUCCAGAAUCACUCACAAUGAAAUUUACCAGUUUCUUGAAAGGAAAAAUGUCAUACAUUAUUCUGCAGUACUCCAUAGAGGACUCCACUGAACAGGUCCAUAGUGAUUUUGAUAUGGGUGCUAGAGGUAUGAUUCCUUGGGUCCGGUUCUUUACUAACAUAUCAAAUUCAACAUGCUGUCUACAGGAUUCUGCCAUAUACGGGCAGUGAUCCACAACAAAAACAGUUUUAUGAGACUCGGAGAAGAUUUUCAUUUUUUGGGCCGGCUCCUGCGGUGCUGCAGCAGUCCCGGGCCUCCUCCACGCCGCGCCCGGGCCCUGCCGCGGGCCCGCUCCGGGGAGGAGGGGUAGGCCCCACGGGGCGCCCUAGAGAGGGCCGGGCGCGGGCGCCUGCGGCCGGGCGGCCUCCAUGCCCCUCCGCUCGCUUCCUCGGCGGCCGCCGCCGGCUCGGCGGGGAGCGCGGGGCCCGGCUCCGGCCUCCGCGCCCGGCGCCCGCGGGGGUGGGAGAAGCGGCCGCAGCCCCCCCCGCUCCGCCCACCCCUG